GGACUCUUCGGAGUUAGUGGCGCACGGGUGAGGAACACGUGGGCAACAUACCCUUUGGUAGGGAAUAAUGUCUGGAAACGGACACUAAUACCCUAUAAUGACUUCGGUCCAAAGAUUUAUCGCCAAAGGAUUGGCCCGCGCAUGAUUAGAUAGUUGGUGAGGUAAUGGCUCACCAAGUCUACGAUCAUUAGCUGGUCUGAGAGGAUGAUCAGCCACACUGGAACUGAGACACGGUCCAGACUCCUACGGGAGGCAGCAGUGAGGAAUAUUGGACAAUGGGGGCAACCCUGAUCCAGCCAUGCCGCGUGUGUGAAGAAGGCCUUCGGGUUGUAAAGCACUUUCAGUUGUGAGGAAAGUUUGAUGGUUAAUACCCAUUAGAUGUGACGUUAACAACAGAAGAAGGACCGGCUAACUCCGUGCCAGCAGCCGCGGUAAUACGGAGGGUCCGAGCGUUAAUCGGAAUUACUGGGCGUAAAGCGCACGCAGGCGGUUUGUUAAGCUAGAUGUGAAAGCCCCGGGCUCAACCUGGGAAUAGCAUUUAGAACUGGCAGGCUAGAGUCUUGGGGAGGGGAGUGGAAUUUCUGGUGUAGCGGUGAAAUGCGUAGAUAUCAGA
rnacentral:rRNA from 1 species